rnacentral:rRNA from 1 species
UACGUAGGGUGCAAGCGUUGUCCGGAAUUAUUGGGCGUAAAGAGCUCGUAGGCGGUCUGUUACGUCGGCUGUGAAAACCUGGGGCUCAACCCCGGGCCUGCAGCCGAUACGGGCAGACUAGAAUUCGGUAGGGGAGACUGGAAUUCCUGGUGUAGCGGUGAAAUUCGUAGAUAUCGGGAGGAACACCUGUGGCGAAGGCGGCCAUCUGGACGGUAACUGACGCUGAGACGCGAAAGCGUGGGUAGCAAACAGG